rnacentral:lncRNA from 1 species
UUUGACGAUGACGUAACCACUUAGGAAGAUCUAUGUCAUGUCUAAAAGAAAGUAAACGGAAGAUGACGAAACGCUGCAGGACGAGCAACCACCGCCAAGGAGCCUGCAGGGACAAAGAGUGUCCUCAAGUCAUCAAGGAAAUUGGCUGGAGGCUGAGGAAUCAUGUGGACCUUAUAAGGAAAACAGACAUAAUGUGCUUACUUCUCGUGGCUGCGACACAACCCCUAAGAGUAAACCCAUGUAAAGGAGAAAGGGCAUAUUUGGCUCGUGUUUCCAGAACUUUCAGUCCAUGGCACGCUGGUUCGGCUGCUUUUUGGCCUGUGAGGAGGCAGAGCUGCACAACCAGGAGCAUCGUGGAGCAAAACCAUGUAGCUCGUGGUAGCAGGGCAGCAGAGAAGGAAGGGCGGGUUGAUGCGGAAACAGGAAACCAUAGUAUUCUCUAAGUGGGCCUCGCCUCCUACACUUCCUGCCUCUCCUCCCCCAUGAGAUCGGGCUUCGCUAAUCCAUGAACCCAUCAUUGGACCAAUCAUUGAUGAUGUUUCAGUCCUUAGGGUGUGCUCCCUGCCCACAGGUCCCACUGAACACUGCCGCUCAGGGGACAAAAGGCUCCGUGAACGUAUAGGGUAUAUUUAAGAUGCUGUCUUAGUGUCGCUACUGCUGUGAUAAAACACCAUGGCCAAAGAAGCAUGGGGAAUAAAGGACUUACUUGGUUUAAGUUUCUAUGUCUCUCUGUACAUCACCGAAGGAAAACAGGGCAGGAAACUGGAGGCAGGAGCUGAUGCAGAGGCCACGGAGGGGUGCUGCUUUCUGCCUCACACCCUGUGGCUUGCUCAGCCUGUUCUCUUAGAGAAUCAAGGACCACCAGCCCAGGGAUAGAAACACCCACAAUGGGGUGAGUCUUCCCCAGGAAUCACUAAUUAAGAAAAUGCCUCAUGCCUAUAGCCUGAUCUUGCAAAGACACUUUCUCAGUCGAGGCUCCCUCCUCUCUAGCUUGUGUCAAGUGACACAUAACUGGGUGGGAAGACGGAAACCUGCAGAUAUUGUGGCAUAUGCCUCCAAUCCCAGCUCUAGGGACACUGCCACAGCAGCAUGGUGAAUUAAAGGCCUACCUGGGCAUAAAGUGAGCAUAAAGCUAGCAGAGGCAGUAUAAGACCCUGUUUUAACAACCAAAAGCUAUGGUCUGGAUUCAGAAACUGGAUGAGAUUUGAUUAUUGUUGCCCACAAAAAGGAAAAAGAUAUGGGAAGAAAUGGAUAUUCGGGCGAAGAGAAUCACAAACUGAGCCAGGAACUGUCAGUUAGCACUCACUGUCCCUUUCUUCAAAAAAGCAGGUACUGUGGUUUAUGCCUGCAGUUACACUUGGACUCCUCGCUGAGGUCAGAGGAUCACUUGAGCCCUGUAAGUCUGAACCAGCCUGGGCAGCAUAGUGAUACUCCAGGUUGGCAUUUUGUCUAGGCUCUGCCCCAUAGUUACCUGGCAACACCCAGGUGUAUUGGGAUCACUAUAAAAGGGGCUGCUUACCCCCUCCCCCCUCUCUCUUCUCUUGCCUUUUUACCCUCUUCCCUUUCUGUCCCUUCUCUCCCCAUUCCCCUCCCUCCUCUCUCCAAUGUGCUCAUGACCGGCCUCUAAGCCUCUCCUCCUCCUCCUCCUCCUCCUCCUCCUCCCCCUCCUCCUUCUCCUCCUCCUUCUUCCUUCCUCCUCCUUCUCCUUCCCCUUCCCUCCUUCUCCUCCUCCUCCUCUUCUUCUUCUUCCUUCUUCCCCUCUCUCUCUC